GCCAGACUCCUACGGGAGGCAGCAGUGGGGAAUAUUGCACAAUGGGGGAAACCCUGAUGCAGCGACGCCGCGUGAGUGAAGAAGUAUUUCGGUAUGUAAAGCUCUAUCAGCAGGAACGAGACAAGACGGUACCUGACUAAGAAGCCCCGGCUAACUACGUGCCAGCAGCCGCGGUAAUACGUAGGGGGCAAGCGUUAUCCGGAAUCACUGGGUGUAAAGGGAGCGUAGACGGCUGAGCAAGCCUGAAGUGAAAGGCGGGGGCCCAACCCCUGGACUGCUUUGGGAACUGUACGGCUGGAGUGCAGGAGAGGUAAGUGGAAUUCCUAGUGUAGCGGUGAAAUGCGUAGAUAUUAGGAGGAACACCAGUGGCGAAGGCGGCUUACUGGACGGUAACUGACGUUGAGGCUCGAAAGCGCGGGGAGCAAACAGGAUUAGAUACCCGUGUAUUC
rnacentral:rRNA from 1 species